UACGUAGGGGGCGAGCGUUGUCCGGAUUCAUUGGGCGUAAAGAGCUCGUAGGCGGUUCAGUAAGUCGGGUGUGAAAUCUCCGUGCUCAACACGGAGCGGCCACCUGAUACUGCUGUGACUCGAGUCCGGUAGGGGAGUGUGGAAUUCCCGGUGUAGCGGUGAAAUGCGCAGAUAUCGGGAGGAACACCGGUGGCGAAGGCGGUUCUCUGGGCCUGUACUGACGCUGAGGAGCGGAAGCGUGGGGGGCGAACAGG
rnacentral:rRNA from 1 species